GUGUGUGUGUGUGUGUGUGUGUGUGUGUAGGGGACAGAAGGACACCAGGUGGUCAACUCUCACUCUCCUCCACCACGGACAGAAUUUCAUUAUGACCAAAAGAGGGGCUGGUGCUGCUCAGCUUGCAGACAAGAAAAUGAUGGCGAAACGCGCUAUCUGGAGCUUCUUCCAGGCCAUUAGCUGCCUCUGCGCCCGGAGGUCCGCUCCUAAACUCCACUGAAGGCUGUUGUGGCAACCCAGGAAGAGCAGCGGGACGGGGACACCAGGCCUGAUGAUUUCCCCUUGACAGAUGAGGAGCCCUGGUCUCAGAGACAGCUGGGCAUGGAGUCAGGAAAAACCAAGUUUGAAUCUGGCUUCAGAUCCUUAAAAUCUGUGUCACCCUGGCUAGGACCCUGCCCAUACCGCAGAAAAGAAGAAAUGGGAAGAUUUCCAGCUCAAAACCCCGGGUCUGAACCAUCCUUGAGCAAAGGAAGAGCCCAGUGGAGUAUCAUUGUGCUAUGAAAAAUGACAAGCAGGAUGAUUUCAGCAAAGCCAGGGGAACGUUGGGCACAGUAAGAGCAAGAUUGUUGGAUUAAGAACUGCGAUGACUUAGCUCUUCUCAGCUAUACAACGAUCCAAGAGCGUCCCAAAGGACCCUGGUGAAGUACACGAUGGCCCUCCAGAGAAAGAACUGAGCUUGAUUGAUUCCAGACUAUUUUUCCCUUUUUUCUUUCACUUUUCCUUUUUAUUUGAGUCUUGUACAAAAUGACUGACAUGGAAAUAUUUACUAGAAGUGCACAGGUAUAACCUCCAGCAGAUUGCUUCCAGGGAGGGAGGGAUAGGAUUUGGAACUCAACAUUUUGAAUAAAAAUCUUAAAAAACUGGGGGAGAGGAAUUCAGAGGGGGAGCCCAGAAGCAGAGCCGCCUGGCCGGCUAACAAGUUACAACCGCCCAGAGGCAGGGCAAGGCUCUUCGCUUGCCCUGCUGCCGAGGGAGCUGCUUGAUCCGUCUAGCCGAGACAUCACUAGGUCAGGGAGGCCAGCAGAGCAAGGAAAUGAGGUCAUGCCGUUCUGGAGCGGGGAGCUGCCCCAGGGAGGGCGGGUCUGGCCCUGACUACCACAGUGCUUUGCCUUUGUGCCUAUUCUUCUUCUCUUUUGGACUCUGAGUGCGG